CCUGGCUCAGAUUGAACGCUGGCGGCAGGCCUAACACAUGCAAGUCGAGCGGUAACAUUUCUAGCUUGCUAGAAGAUGACGAGCGGCGGACGGGUGAGUAAUGCUUGGGAACGUGCCGUAAGGUGGGGGACAACCAUUGGAAACGAUGGCUAAUACCGCAUAAUGUCUACGGACCAAAGGGGGCUUCGGCUCUCGCCUUAUGAUCGGCCCAAGUGGGAUUAGCUAGUUGGUAAGGUAAUGGCUUACCAAGGCGACGAUCCCUAGCUGGUUUGAGAGGAUGAUCAGCCACACUGGAACUGAGACACGGUCCAGACUCCUACGGGAGGCAGCAGUGGGGAAUAUUGCACAAUGGGCGCAAGCCUGAUGCAGCCAUGCCGCGUGUGUGAAGAAGGCCUUAGGGUUGUAAAGCACUUUCAGUAAGGAGGAAAGGUUAGUAGUUAAUACCUGCUAGCUGUGACGUUACUUACAGAAGAAGCACCGGCUAACUCCGUGCCAGCAGCCGCGGUAAUACGGAGGGUGCGAGCGUUAAUCGGAAUUACUGGGCGUAAAGCGUACGCAGGCGGUUUGUUAAGCGAGAUGUGAAAGCCCCGGGCUCAACCUGGGAACUGCAUUUCGAACUGGCAAACUAGAGUGUGAUAGAGGGUGGUAGAAUUUCAGGUGUAGCGGUGAAAUGCGUAGAGAUCUGAAGGAAUACCGAUGGCGAAGGCAGCCACCUGGGUCAACACUGACGCUCAUGUAC
rnacentral:rRNA from 2 species